GAGUUACAGACAUAGAAGCUACAGCAUCUGGAAAGUGUCCCUUCAAAUCCCUGAAAUUUCUUUACUGACUACUUACCUGUGAGAUUCAUCUUAACUCUACUGAACAUGGAAUAAUUAUAUAACAAAAACAGUCCAGGUCUGCCGGGCUAUUCCAUACGCAGUAGCUGCUAAAGAACUUAAAAUGAGAGACAAGUAAAGUGAAUCAGAAGUAUUUUCUUAGAACAUCAGCUUGGAAACCCAACAGCUGUUGAGUGAAUGUUUUGCUAUGGUGCCUUCAUUAAAAUGGAAAGGUUUUGUGAUAGAUAUACAUUAACUGUGUUGCUUGUUUUCUUAGGCUCCAGGUUAUGGAGAUGUUAGGUUGUCUUUGGAGGCAAUACCAGAUACUGUAAACCUCGAAGAACCUUUUCAUAUUACCUGUAAAAUAACAAACUGCAGUGAAAGGACUAUGGAUCUGGUUUUGGAAAUGUGCAAUACCAAUUCCAUCCACUGGUGUGGAAUUUCAGGAAGACAGCUGGGAAAGCUGCAUCCAAGUUCUUCGCUCUGUCUUGCCCUUACUCUGCUUUCUUCAGUACAGGGACUGCAAAGCAUCUCUGGCUUAAGACUAACAGACACAUUCUUAAAGAGAACAUAUGAAUAUGAUGACAUCGCACAAGUCUGUGUGAUAUCUUCUGCCAUUAAAGUGGAAAGCUGAAGGAAACUUCCAAUGUUAGGCUUUUCAUUUAGUUUCACAGAACUGCUCUUUUUGUCACCUUUGUAAAAUGAUGACGUCAACAACGAAGUAAAUAUGUUACUUAAAUUUUCUUUCCUGUAAAAUGGUUAAAAUAUUAAAUAUUUGUUUUGAAGA
rnacentral:sRNA from 1 species